rfam:Treponema sp. CETP13 contig14, whole genome shotgun sequence.
GGCGGUAUAGCUCAGUUGGUAGAGCACUCGGCUCAUAUCCGAACGGUCAUAGGUUCAAGUCCCAUUGCCGCUA